UACGGGGGGGGCAAGCGUUGUUCGGAAUUACUGGGCGUAAAGGGCUCGUAGGUGGCCAACUAAGUCAGACGUGAAAUCCCUCAGCUUAACUGGGGAACUGCGUCUGAUACUGGAUGGCUUGAGUUUGGGAGAGGGAUGCGGAAUUCCAGGUGUAGCGGUGAAAUGCGUAGAUAUCCGGAGGAACACCGGUGGCGAAGGCGGCUUCCUGGACCGACACUGACGCUGAGGCGCGAAAGCUAGGGGAGCAAACGGG
rnacentral:rRNA from 1 species